AGAGGGGGGUAGAAUUCCAGGUGUAGCGGUGAAAUGCGUAGAGAUCUGGAGGAAUACCGGUGGCGAAGGCGGCCCCCUGGACGAAGACUGACGCUCAGGUGCGAAAGCGUGGGGAGCAAACAGGAUUAGAUACCCUAGUAGUCCACGCCGUAAACGAUGUCGACUUGGAGGUUGUGCCCUUGAGGCGUGGCUUCCGGAGCUAACGCGUUAAGUCGACCGCCUGGGGAGUACGGCCGCAAGGUUAAAACUCAAAUGAAUUGACGGGGGCCCGCACAAGCGGUGGAGCAUGUGGUUUAAUUCGAUGCAACGCGAAGAACCUUACCUGGUCUUGACAUCCACAGAACUUUCCAGAGAUGGAUUGGUGCCUUCGGGAACUGUGAGACAGGUGCUGCAUGGCUGUCGUCAGCUCGUGUUGUGAAAUGUUGGGUUAAGUCCCGCAACGAGCGCAACCCUUAUCCUUUGUUGCCAGCGGUCCGGCCGGGAACUCAAAGGAGACUGCCAGUGAUAAACUGGAGGAAGGUGGGGAUGACGUCAAGUCAUCAUGGCCCUUACGACCAGGGCUACACACGUGCUACAAUGGCGCAUACAAAGAGAAGCGACCUCGCGAGAGCAAGCGGACCUCAUAAAGUGCGUCGUAGUCCGGAUUGGAGUCUGCAACUCGACUCCAUGAAGUCGGAAUCGCUAGUAAUCGUGGAUCAGAAUGCCACGGUGAAUACGUUCCCGGGCCUUGUACACACCGCCCGUCACACCAUGGGAGUGGGUUGCAAAAGAAGUANNNAGCUUAACCUUCGGGAGGGCGCUUACCACUUUGUGAUUCAUGACUGGGGUGAAGUCGUAACAAGGUAACCGUAA
rnacentral:rRNA from 1 species